GAUGAACGCUGGCGGCGUGCCUAAUACAUGCAAGUCGAGCGAAUGGAUUAAGAGCUUGCUCUUAUGAAGUUGGCGGCGGACGGGUGAGUAACACGUGGGUAACCUGCUCAUAAGACUGGGAUAACUCCGGGAAACCGGGGCUAAUACCGGAUAACAUUUUGAACCGCAUGAUUCGACAUUGAAAGGCGGCUUCGGCUGUCACUUAUGGAUGGACUCGCGUCGCAUGAGCUAGUUGGUGAGGUAACGGCUCACCAAGGCAACGUUGCGGAGCCGACCUGAGAGGGUGAGCGGCCACACUGGGACUGAGACACGGCCCAGACUCCUACGGGAGGCAGCAGUAGGGAAUCUUCCGCAAUGGACGAAAGUCCGACGGAGCAACGCCGCGUGAGUGAUGAAGGCUUUCGGGUCGUAAAACUCUGUUGUUAGGGAAGAACAAGUGCUAGUUGAAUAAGCUGGCACCUUGACGGUACCUAACCAGAAAGCCACGGCUAACUACGUGCCAGCAGCCGCGGUAA
rnacentral:rRNA from 1 species